AUUCAGCUGACGAGUCCCAGAUAGGACGAAACGCGUGUCCAAGAU
rnacentral:hammerhead_ribozyme from 1 species